GGAAUGGAUUGUUGGGGAAAGCCAGGUAGAUAGUUGGAGCUGAAGGAGGGCUUACUUCUGAGCUUGGCUUCCUGUACCAACCUAUUUAAACCCAUCAACUCCUUCAGGGGUAACCGUGUGAGCAGUGAAACUUAGACUAAGGAUUCCUUUCUCCAUUCCUAUUCUCCAUGUCCUGUUGAAAAGACCGUGUUUAUCUGUCGGAUCCUUACUGGCACAGAGAAAGGAAAAGAUGAGUAAAAUUCUGUUUCUCAGUAUCUUCAUCUUACCUUGUUGUAUGCUGGGACUUUGCUCCUUCCACUUGGUCAGCAACUGCCGAAAGGAAACAAACAAUGAAUAAGAUUCUUCUUCUCAGUUUCUCUAUCCUGAUCUGCUGUUUUUUAUCUGAAGCUCUCGUAUGCCGCGUCUGUCAACACUAUGAACCAUUUUGGGGCUGUCGCACCAAAAAGGAAAUCUGUCAUCCUGAACAUGGGCAGCAGUGCAGAGUUACCAGAAUCAUUCCACUAGGUGCAAAACCCUUUGUCCUAAAAGGGUGCUCCUUGAAAUCCAAGAUAUGCAACAUUACCGAUCAUGUUCCAGGCUUCGGUGUUAUACGGAGGAAAUGCUGUCAUAACAAAGACCUUUGUAAUGUUUAUUUAUGAAAAUUCAAUAAAACCAUUUUUUUUCUUUAAAUAAAUAUGCAUUAUAAAUAAAUAGCAUCAGCACAGCA